rnacentral:rRNA from 1 species
GACGAACGCUGGCGGCGUGCUUAACACAUGCAAGUCGAACGAAGAGCGAUGGAAGCUUGCUUCUAUCAAUCUUAGUGGCGCACGGGUGAGUAACGCGUAAUCAACCUGCCCUUCAGAGGGGGACAACAGUUGGAAACGACUGCUAAUACCGCAUACGAUCCAAUCUCGGCAUCGGGACUGGAUGAAAGGUGGCCUCUAUUUAUAAGCUAUCACUGAAGGAGGGGAUUGCGUCUGAUUAGCUAGUUGGAGGGGUAACGGCCCACCAAGGCGAUGAUCAGUAGCCGGUCUGAGAGGAUGAACGGCCACAUUGGGACUGAGACACGGCCCAGACUCCUACGGGAGGCAGCAGUGGGGAAUCUUCCGCAAUGGACGAAAGUCUGACGGAGCAACGCCGCGUGAGUGAUGACGGCCUUCGGGUUGUAAAGCUCUGUUAAUCGGGACGAAUGGUUCUUGUGCGAAUAGGGCGAGGAUUUGACGGUACCGGAAUAGAAAGCCACGGCUAACUACGUG